rnacentral:rRNA from 1 species
GAUCAUGGCUCAGGAUGAACGCUGGCGGCGUGCCUAACACAUGCAAGUCGAACGAAGUUAGACAGAGGAAGUUUUCGGAUGGAAUCGGUAUAACUUAGUGGCGGACGGGUGAGUAACGCGUGGGAAACCUGCCCUGUACCGGGGGAUAACACUUAGAAAUAGGUGCUAAUACCGCAUAAGCGCACGGAACUGCAUGGUUCCGUGUGAAAAACUCCGGUGGUACAGGAUGGUCCCGCGUCUGAUUAGCCAGUUGG